rnacentral:rRNA from 1 species
AUUGAACGCUGGCGGCAGGCCUAACACAUGCAAGUCGAACGAGUGGCGGACGGGUGAGUAAUGACUGGGAAUCUGACUGAUGGAGGGGGAUCACUAACGGAAACGGUGGCUAAUACCGCAUACCAUCAGAUGUGCCCAGAUGGGAUUAGCUAGUAGGUGGGGUAACGGCUAACCUAGGCGACGAUCCCUAGCUGGUCUGAGAGGAUGACCAGCCACACGGGAACGGAGACACGGUCCAGACGCCUACGGGAGGCAGCAGUGGUGAAUAUUGCACAAUGGGCGCAAGCCUGAUGCAGCCAUGCCGCGUGUAUGAAGAAGGCCGUCGGGUUGUAAAGUACUUUCAGCGGGGAGGCGUUACCCGCAGAAGAAGCACCGGCUAACUCCGUGCCAGCAGCCGCGGUAAGUC